AAGAGUGGGGGGUGGGGGGAGUUCAGCGCCAAAAAUCGUUGCCAAAAGUGCUGAGUGUGACGCUUCCUCGAGGGCUGGCAUCCACUAAAGCACUGAUGCAACAAAUAGGCAAUGUACUCCACAAUGACUCCUGGACAUCUCCGGCAGGCUCUGCAGGGACGCACUUUGGACAUGCAAAAUGUCAGACAAGGAUGCAGCACUCAUCUGAACGUCAAUGGUGAGAGUUGUACCAAAAAAAAAAAAAAAAAAUGGAUGACGGUGUUUCCUAUUAUAUGUUAGCAUGAAGCGAGAGGAAGCUCCGCAGUUUUAAAUGCACAAAGUAUCAUGACUGUUGUUUUACGUUUGCUUGAAGCCUUUUUUUGUUUUUAAUUUCCCAAGGUUACCUGCCAAACGACUGCAUGUUGCGAAGUGGGGUGGAGUGAAGUGACGCUGAAUCGGAGGAAAACUGUCAACGAUCAGCAGAGGGGAACGAUAAACACUUUGCCUGCAGCGGUACCGAAAGGGAGAUGUGAUCAUUUGGGCGCAGUCGGAGGUUAAUUAAUCAGUGUUUUAAGGACGGAACGAGCUGUUUUGACAUGGGCAGCGCACGUGUCCAAAACAGUCAAAUUAAUUACAGUCCGGCAACGGUUGGGGCCGUGUCUGUGACUGCGAGCGGUUUUAAUUAGCGCAGUGAGAGUUGUUCCGUCACUGCGUACGCGGGCAUCUGGAGGGCCAGAGCCACACAGCGCGGCAAUGAAUAAACACGAACGGCCACAUAAAAUGCGCUUUUUAAGUCAUUUCGCCGCUGAUGCACUCCGCGGAGAACCACAAUCACUGCUGUGUCCGACUCCGCUUGGAGACAAUCGAUAAAAAGCUUUCAUUCCGCAAGGAGCAGCAGCCCCCCGCCCCCCUUCCUUGCAGCUCCACCCGGGGGUGAUACAAGUCAGUCCCUGAUGUCGCACCUCCAAUCUCCAAGUCGCAAGUACGCAUUAGUGAUGAGUAAAUAAAGAAAAUGUGAGGGGUGGGGGGGACCUGGCAGGCAAAUGCUCGUUUCGCUGCGUCGAAAUUGGGAUUUCAUUAAUUCUCUGUUGAUUACAAAAUAAAAGCCCUACCCGGAUCACAUCUGCACGGCCGCGCUGACACAAAACUGCCACAAUAUUAGAAACAUCAACUCUGUUUGUGUCAGGUGAGGCGGGCCUUUACCGUCUCUUCAAAAUAAAAGAUGCUGCAUAAGGCGCGGCAAUAUUUGUAGCUUGGAUACACAAAGGCGUCGCAUGACGAAGGAAUAGGAAUGAUAAAAACUCAAGCAAUUGACAAUUUUGCGUGGCCAAAACGUGGUCGUUUCCGUCUUUCGACUUUUGACAUUCCAACGCGCAUUUGGAAUAUCGCAACAGUGGCGACGUUUGGCAAGAUAGGAUGGCGCAAUUAAAACGUGAUCACAAUCGAGCCACUCUCACGUGCUUUUAAUUUCCUUUUCAUUCCUUCUAAAUUCUGCCUCGUUUGCGCCUUUUCCCUCAGCGAGAGCCAGCUUGAAGGCUGCAAUCAAACAAGCUCCUGAUGGAACCCCCUGGGGUCCGACAGGCAGUGCGCACGCACGCACACAAUUACAAACGGCAAAACAAA